UCUACGGGUGGCAGCAGUGGGGGAUAUUGCACAAUGGGGGAAACCCUGAUGCAGCGACGCCGCGUGGGUGAAGAAGCGCCUCGGCGCGUAAAGCCCUGUCAGCAGGGAAGAAAAUGACGGUACCUGAAGAAGAAGCCACGGCUAAAUACGUGCCAGCAGCCGCGGUAAUACGUAGGGGGAAAGCGUUAUCCGGAUUUACUGGGUGAAAAGGGGGCGCAGACGGCGAUGCAAGCCAGGAGUGAACGCCCGGGGCCCAACCCCGGGACUGCUCUUGGAACUGCGUGGCGAGAGUGCAGGAGGGGCAGGCGGAAUUCCUGGUGUAGCGGUGACAUGCUUAGAUAUCAGGAGGAACACCGGUGGCGAAGGCGGCCUGCUGGACUGUAACUGACGUUGAGGCCCGAAAGCGUGGGGAGCAAACAGGAUUAGAUACCCCUGUAGUC
rnacentral:rRNA from 1 species